rnacentral:rRNA from 1 species
GACGAACGCUGGCGGCGUGCUUAACACAUGCAAGUCGAACGGAAAGGCCCUGCUUUUGUGGGGUGCUCGAGUGGCGAACGGGUGAGUAACACGUGAGUAACCUGCCCUUGACUUUGGGAUAACUUCAGGAAACUGGGGCUAAUACCGGAUAGGAGCUCCUGCUGCAUGGUGGGGGUUGGAAAGUUUCGGCGGUUGGGGAUGGACUCGCGGCUUAUCAGCUUGUUGGUGGGGUAGUGGCUUACCAAGGCUUUGACGGGUAGCCGGCCUGAGAGGGUGACCGGCCACAUUGGGCCUGAGAUACGGCCCAGACUCCUACGGGAGGCAGGAGUGGGGAAUAUUGCACAAUGGGCGGAAGCCUGAUGCAGCAACGCCGCGUGCGGGAUGACGGCCUUCGGGUUGUAAACCGCUUUCGCCUGUGACGAAGCGUGAGUGACGGUAAUGGGUAAAGAAGCACCGGCUAACUACGUG